rnacentral:rRNA from 1 species
GGAUCCAGACUUUGAUCCUGGCUCAGGACGAACGCUGGCGGCGUGCCUAACACAUGCAAGUCGAACGGAACUGUUUUGAAAGAUUUCUUCGGAAUGAAUUUGAUUUAGUUUAGUGGCGGACGGGUGAGUAACGCGUGAGUAACCUGCCUUCGAGAGGGGGAUAACAUUCUGAAAAGAAUGCUAAUACCGCAUGACAUAUCGGAACCACAUGGUUCUGAUAUCAAAGAUUUUAUCGCUUGAAGAUGGACUCGCGUCCGAUUAGUUAGUUGGUGAGGUAACGGCUCACCAAGACCGCGAUCGGUAGCCGGACUGAGAGGUUGAACGGCCACAUUGGGACUGAGACACGGCCCAGACUCCUACGGGAGGCAGCAGUGGGGGAUAUUGCGCAAUGGGGGCAACCCUGACGCAGCAACGCCGCGUGAAGGAUGAAGGUUUUCGGAUUGUAAACUUCUUUUAUUAAGGACGAAAAUUGACGGUACUUAAUGAAUAAGCUCCGGCUAACUACGUGCCAGCAGCCGCGGUAAUACGUAGGGAGCAAGCGUUGUCCGGAUUUACUGGGUGUAAAGGGUGCGUAGGCGGCUUUGCAAGUCAGAUGUGAAAUCUAUGGGCUCAACCCAUAAACUGCAUUUGAAACUGUAGAGCUUGAGUGAAGUAGAGGCAGGCGGAAUUCCCCGUGUAGCGGUGAAAUGCGUAGAGAUGGGGAGGAACACCAGUGGCGAAGGCGGCCUGCUGGGCUUUAACUGACGCUGAGGCACGAAAGCGUGGGUAGCAAACAGGAUUAGAUACCCUGGUAGUCCACGCUGUAAACGAUGAUUACUAGGUGUGGGGGGUCUGACCCCUUCCGAAGCGGAGUUAACCCAAUAAGUAAUCCACCU